rnacentral:lncRNA from 1 species
GUAUUCCAAUUUUUUUCUGACAGUAUUUUAAUGUAAUACUACUUUAUUUUGGGUCCUAAAUUGUUCAGCAAAAUGAGCAUUGAUUAGUUCCUGAUCUAAAUUUAAUGGCUGAAAAUGGGACUGCAACUUGAUAAGGUCUGUGCAAAUCAGUCAGCCAGGAGAAAAAUGAAACUCUGCCACUCCAGCUUGGAAAACAUGAUGCAUCUGCCAGUUCUUUUUCUCCAUUGUGUUACUGACAAUAUUGUGUCCUUAGACUGA